CCUUCUUUCAGAUUUGUUUACUUCACCGUCAUUUCAAUGGCGGAACACUGAAAAAAAGCAUUUGAGAGCGGUCAGAUUUCGGAUAUAUUGUUCUAGUUACGAACGAGCUGAGUACUUACAUUUAUCAUCUUGGCUAGCUAACAUAGUGAACGAAUCGUUUUGUCCCAAUAUUUCUCUUAGUAAACCUUCUGGCUGGGGCAUUUCCAUCAAUUAAAGCACGAGAUCCCCGAAAUGGCAGAUAACAACACAGACCAAGAAAAAGCAAUAGCUGCAAAUGCGUUGGAGGCGUUUACGGCUGGAAACUAUGAGGAAUCUUUGAAACACCUUGGAAAGCUGCAAGAGUUGAACAAGGAGGACUACAAGAUUGCUUUGAAUAAAGCAAUAGCUGAAUUCUACAAGAGCGGCCAAACCACCACAUGCACCCUGAAGCAGACUCUUAUUGCAAUGAAAAACCAGGUUCACACUUCAAUGGAGGAUAUUGAUGGUUUGGAUGAUGUAGAAAACAGUCUUCUCUACUACAAUCAAGCAAUCAUUCACUACCACAUGAGACAGUACUCCGAAGCUAUUGCUAUUGGAGAGAGGCUGUACCAGUUUCUGGAGCCGUUUGAAGAGAAGUUUGCUCUGGCGGUCUGCUUCUUGCUGGUGGAUCUGUACCUGCUAACGUUCCAGCCAGAGAAGGCCCUCCAUCUCCUUGCUGUGCUGGAGAAACUGUCUGUACAGGGAAAUAACAAGAACGGCAAAGGGGAGGUAAUAUUUCAGGCACAGUGCAAGUUCUACAUUCACAGGGACCCGGUAGUGGAGGCAGCAGACUUCAUUCAGGAUAAUCUCAGGGAGCUUACUGGAGGACAGAGUGUCAACAGCGCCAACAAAGAUGGUCGGAACCAGAAGGCAGAGUUCAUUGGCAUGAUCGAAGCGGCAAAAUCCAAAAUGCACCAGUACAAAGUGCGAGCGUACAUUCAGAUGAAGUCAUCAAAGGCCUGCAAAAGGGAGAUCAAGUCUGUGAUGAACACAGCAGGGAAUUCUGCUUCCUCACUCUUCCUCAAGAGUAACUUUGAGUACCUGAGAGGAAACUACCGCAAAGCAGUGAAGCUCUUAAACAGCUCCAACAUCGCAGAGCACCCUGGGGCCAUCAAAACAGGGGAAUGUGUGCGCUGUAUGUUCUGGAACAACCUGGGUUGCAUACACUUUGCCAUGGGGAAACACAACCUAGGUAUAUUCUACUUCAAAAAGGCCCUGCAGGAGAACGACCACACGUGUGCACAGCUGGGGGACGGUGGGGCGACGGGGAACGGGCAAUCUAAGCAGUUCUCGGGCAUCCCCAUGUGUGCGCUGCUAGCCAACAAGCGUUAUGAGCUGCUGUAUAACUGUGGGAUCCAGCUGCUGCACAUCGGCCGGCCCCUGGCGGCCUUCGACUGUCUGAUGGAUGCUGUGCAGGUGUACCACUCUAACCCUGGCCUCUGGUUACGGUUGGCUGAGUGCUGCAUUGCUGCCAACAAGGGUAGCUUAGAACAAGACAACAAGGGUCUUCCGAGUAAAAAGGGUAUCGUUCAGGCCAUCGUUGGGCAGGGCUACCAUCGCAAGAUCAUCCUGGCAUCACAGUCCACCCAGAACACAAUCUACAGUGAUGGGCAGUCUGCAGCCAUUCCGGUGGCCAGUAUGGAGUUUGCAGCGAUCUGUCUGAGGAACGGCCUGGUCCUCCUCCCUGAUCACCAGCAGCAGGAGAACAAGGCAGAGAACGGCUCCAAGACAACCAGCCAGUCAGGCAGCACAGAGAGCGGCUCAGAGAACAGCGACGCCUGCAGUGGGAAAGGUCAAGAAGGAGACAAGUUCCUUUCUGCAGCACCGUCUUCACCUCUGAGGAAACAGGAGGUUGAAAACCUCAGGUGUUCCCUCCUGGCCUGCAGUGCCUACGUGGCCCUGGUGUUAGGAGACAACCUGAUGGCCCUGAACCAUGCAGAGAAGCUCCUUCACCAGACCAAGCUGUCUGGAUCACUCAAGUUCCUGGGACACCUGUAUGCUGCAGAGGCCCUCAUAUCCCUGGACCGGAUCUCAGAGGCCAUCGGUCACCUCAACCCAGAGAACGUCACUGAUGUCUCCAUGGGGGUGUUGUCUAGCGAGCAGGACCAAGUGUUUGUGUUCACAGGGCCAGAUAAAGGGGAUCUGGAGCCUGUCGAGUCAUGGUGUGUUGUGUGUUGGUACAGCAGGGAAGCAGACUCCUCUGUGUUACCCCAGCACAGUGAGCUCAGCCCGGGCCAUAAUGCUGUUCAACCUAGGCAGUGCCUAUUGUCUGAGGAGUGAGUACGAGAAGGCCCGCAAGUGCCUGCAUCAGGCCGCCUCCAUGGUGAACACCAAGGAGAUUCCUCCUGAAGCCAUCUUACUGGCUGUCUACCUGGAGCUGCAGAACGGGAACACACAGCUCGCCCUGCAGAUCAUCAAACGUAACCAGCUCCUCCCCUCAGUGCUCCAGGCGCCCUCUCCAGACACACGAAAGAAGCCUGUUCCCUCCUCCUUCCAGCCUGUCCAACCACCCAUCCAGAUGCCCUCACCCUUCACAACAGUCCAGCGCAAAUGAGCCCUCAACCCUUGUUCCCCUAACCCUCCUUGCCCCAUUGCACAGCAACACGCACCUGUCCACCUCUCAUCACUUCACCUCAGUGUAUUAUUUAUUUAAGGCAAGCUGACCCCAACUCAGUGCCGGUGUAGGGUGAAGUUGUCCCUAGAUGCUGAUCUUGACUCAGCUUUGUAUUUCCUCCCACUAAUGGUUAACAUUGGUGGAGAGGAAGCUGAUCCUAGAUCUGUACCUAGGGGAAAUUGAACUCCUCAGCACCCAGACGGAGCCCCUCCAGGUCAGGUCCUGGUAUGAAAUGCAGAGGUCUCCUGUCGGGUGGACGAAGGGUGCGUUCACGGCCCAAAUUACACCUUAUCCCCUAUGUAAGUGCACUCCUUUUGACCAGAGCCCUAUGGGGCCCUAAUAAAAGUAGUGCCCUAUAUAAGGAACUGGGUACCAUUUGGGAUGGAGCCUUUAUUCAGUGGCUAUCACCUGCAGUGUCUUUGGGGCAGAUCUGACAUGAUUUCUCUGUUCUCUGAGAGUUUUAACUUUCCAUUUGUGACAGCAACAUCCGUUAUGAUAUAUACUGACCGACUUUUGCUUGGGGCAAAUUAAAUACCUGUAUAAAAAAAUAAAUUUUAUUUACAGAAGUAA